UACGUAGGGGUGCAAGCGUUGUCCGGAAUUAUUGGGCGUAAAGAGCUCGUAGGCGGCUCUGUCCGCGUCUGCUGUGAAAACUCAGGGCUUAACCCUGAGCUUGCAGUGGGUACGGGCAGACUAGAGUGCGGUAGGGGAGACUGGAAUUCCUGGUGUAGCGGUGAAAUGCGCAGAUAGUCAGGAGGAACACCGGUGGCGAAGGC
rnacentral:rRNA from 1 species